GACGAACGCUGGCGGCGUGCUUAAAACAUGCAAGUCGAACGGAGUGGGGAACGGGGGAGUAAGAGGGGGGUGAGCCGCGCCGCAUCUAGGGAUACGCCCGGGCAACUGGGUCUAAUACCGGAUAGUGCGGGCUGUGCCCGGGGCCUAACAGCUUGUUGUUGGGGUAAUGGCCUACCAAGGCGGUGACGGGUAGCCGGCCUGAGAGGGUGGACGGCCACAUUGGGACUGAGACACGGACCGGACUACUACGGGAGGCAGCAGUGGGGAAUAUUGCACAAUGGGCGGAAGCCUGAUGCAGCGACGCCGCGUGGGGGGUGGCGGCCUUCGGGUUGUAAACUCCUUUCACCAUUGACGCGGUAGAUGGAGAAGAAGCACCGGCUAACUACGUGCCAGCCGCCGCGGUAAUAC
rnacentral:rRNA from 1 species